AUACAGAGAGUGCAAGCGUUAAUCAGAAUUACUGGGCGUAAAGCGCGCGUAGGUGGAUAUUUAAGUCGGAUGUGAAAGCCCUAGGCUCAACCUAGGAACUGCAUUCGAUACUGGAUAUCUAGAGUAUGGUAGAGGGAAGUGGAAUUUCCGGUGUAGCGGUGAAAUGCGUAGAUAUCGGAAAGAACACCAGUGGCGAAGGCGGCUUCCUGGACCAAUACUGACACUGAGGCGCGAAAGCGUGGGGAGCAAACAGGAUUAGAAACCCCGGUAGUCC
rnacentral:rRNA from 1 species